UGGAGGGCAGCAGUGCUGUAGGACAGCCCUGUGACCACGGCUGAGCUACAGCAGCAGCCUGGGGCAGGCUGAGAGGCCAAAGCAGCCUCAAGCAGGGCUUUGGGAACUACUGGCUGUGGGUGGCUCUGGGCUACAAGGGGUGCUUCUUUUUGCAGUUUACAUUGGGCAUCAAAAAGCACAGAGCCAGCAGCUGAGCCAGGAGGUGUAAAAAUAGAGCACUGGUAGAUAGCACAGCGUGCUGGGGCUGGAUGUAACCCGAGCACACACUGGUGUCAGAAAGAAGAGGGAAGGGGAAAGGGAAGGGCAGAAUUACACAACUUUGGCUGCUAGGAAAAGCUCUGAAUCAAAAAUAAAACUCGGUGUGUGUGUUUUGGCCCGGUGGCAUGUCUCAGAGGGAAGCAGCACGCUGAGCUGCCAAGUGUGAGGCCGGGAUCAAGAGGAACAUCUGUGUCCGGACUUCCCGCACUGCCAGGAGACUGGCAGGCUGUAGGGAUGACACCUCUGGUCAGGAGGAGGGGAAGGGCGUUGUGACAAGGUUGGAGGAGGGAGGUGGCCUUUGCCUAUGAUAAGAGCACUCCCCACAGCAGCGAGAGGCAGGAGCUCUUUGUGGUGAGAGCUGGUGGCCCAGAUCACAGCGCUGCAGAGUCCCACGGGGGGUGCUGGGGAAUGUUCACACUCCCUUUCCUCAGGCACUAAUUUUGUGCAAUCGUUUACGCCAAACGAUAAAGGAACUGAUUGCAGAUCCAUAUGGAAAAUGGUGCCGUGCAUCUCUGCAGAGAUAUUCCAAGCGUACCAUGGGACAUAAGAUCUGAAGGAGGGAGAACUGGAAAAUUAUUUAUUCACAGAGAAAUGCAGCUUGUAGGAAGCCAAGAUUAUGCAGUUCAGUUGAAGUUUAAACUGGAAAACAGCUUUGGCAAGAAAAAAGUAUGCAGAAAUUGUUUCUAAAAAAAUUCAUUAAUAUCUAUCUUUUCAUAGAGUCACUUCCAUGAAGAAACAUCUCUAUGGGGAAGGGAAAUUCAAGUAUCGUUCCCUGAAGGACUCAAGAACCAUUCUCCAAGGGGAGGAGCACAAAUGCCCUCAAAAUGGUUAAAUAUAAACCAGUGAUUAAAUAAUAUUAGCAUAUUAGCUAUUCGUUCAUGUGGGAACUCCACAUCCCCAAGUGAUGUUCUCCUCCUAAAAGUGUCAAAUCCCUUGUACUCUGUCCCUGAUUCUGUGGGGAUGCUGCUAUUUGCACAGGAGCAGAGGAACCUCCACCCCUGUGGGAUCUGCUCUGAUAGCUGCACACUGUCCAGCAGGAUGGAAAAUUGUGUUUCAGUCUCUUUCUGCAGCAAACCCACAACCGAGCUCCACUCCAUAAUAUUUUAGCAAGCCACCUUCAGCCUGGAAUGCAGACAGCCACAGAUAAUUCAUGUCAGGUUGGGUGACCUUCUGCAGCUCAUCACCUUGGGAAAUCAGCCUUUUCUCACCUCUGGCUCUGCACCAGCCUUUCAGGAGACACAGCAGAGGGGAUGAAGAAAACAGUGAGAGUGUGCCAGGUGAAGAGAAAGCCUCCACCUUUACAUGUGAUCAAACUAUUUUUGCCCCAGCUUCGGACCCCGUUGUGAGACAAAUGUUCAUGUCUGCAAAUGCUGGAAAGUAAACGGUGACAAAUUUUAGUCUAGCCAGUAAAAACUUUCACCCAGGCUCUCUCAAAAUUAAGCGGGUUUUGUUAUGCUAACAAGUGUUAGCCCCCAGGAAGGGAGGGGCUGACCCUCCCAGCUGAGGUGCAGGCUGGUCCUGCCACCUUCAGUGAUGACCUGAUCGUGUGACAACUCAUCUUCAUGUGACAUUGGGUUCUUUAAUUAGAAGCCGUGGUGUGGAAAGGGAAGGAGUCAAAAAAUAUUUGCUUAAUAUCCCACCAGAAGGAUGGGAUUGAGUCAAGCAUGCCAUAAACUCCAGGAGUGCACCAGCUUGGCCACCAGAAAACAGAGUGAAGGCCAGGGACAAGCAGCCUUUGGCAGCUGAGAGAGAAUUCAUCAGGCAUGUAGGACAAGCAGGAGGCCUGCACGCCUGUUCUGAACCUACCCAGAUCUUCCACAGUGGUGUUAAAUGUGUAGUUGGAUUGCAAAUAAAAACUAUUGGCCAAGAAUUACCCUAAACCCACACAGUCAUUUCACAAGAAAAGCCCUGGCUUUCGGAUGGUAUUUAAUUCUUGGUAGAUAUACGAGCACUCCUUCUUGUGGCUCAUAUAGAAGUAAAGCUUUGGACUGGUUACCCAUAACCCUGUGGCUGAGAUGAUCUGCUGCUGGGCUAAAGGCCUCAGCAGAGACAGAGAAGUGAGACUCCAGCAGAGGUUCCUGAAGCUCUGGCCAGGUCUCCAUCAGCAUUGGGCCAGCUGGGCACAUGUGUGGGUUCACAGAGCCAAUUCAGGAAAAAAAACCCUAUGAGCCACAUGAGCACAUGCAGGAGGGCUUGGGGCACCUCUGCUGACCUGGCAGUCCAUCCAGACCAGCAAUUCCAGAACUCUUUGGGGGAAAAAAUAGAAAAGCACAAAAAAAAUCCCUCCUGUGCCCCCAAACAGGUCCCAGGUGAGUCUCUUUUUAGAGGAAUCACCUUAUGCUGUAUCACCAAGGAAGCAGCCACAGAAGCAGAAGGCAAUCCUUCCAGAUUUAAUGCAACAGCCACAUGCAAUGACACACACAGUUCAUCACUGAGGCAGGUAGCAGGGCCCUCUGCUCUCAUUCAUAUGAAUAUAAUGCCUACAGCAAUGCAAGGCAUCAACAUUUUUAGAGCCAGCAGUUUGACUUUCAUUGCUCCGUUAUUUUUAAUCGUUUUAAUCUGCGCUUUUAGCAUUCCGCUUCUUCUCUUUUUUUACUUCCAAACAAGACAAAAAGUGUGCAGCAGCUAAUACCUCUGUUUUUAAUGGCUUGAAAAACAAUGAAGGAACAUUAAGCAGUUCCCAAGCCUUCCGGAGCAGUGGUAUUUUUAAAGAUGAGAUUGAUCAAAGAGGCUGUGAACUCCAGUGGAGAUGGAUUGGCUCAGCACUGUAACGCCAGCAUGGAGGCUGCUCCAGCCUGGAUCCCAGCCUUUGCCUUUCAUCUGCUUAGUGUUCCAGUGGCCAAAACUCCUUUGCUGAAAUAAGACUCAGCCAAGUACAAAAAAAAUCCCACGUUUCUUCUAAAAGUUCAGGGACAGGGAAUUAAUUAAUUAAUUUUUGUACCAGUUGAUUGUUUUUGCCACUGCUUCACUUCAAGCAGGGAACAGAAAAAUCCUCUCCCUGAGGCUGCUCUCACAUGUCUGAGCUCUCCCAGCUUGAGAGCAGCAGCUCAGCAGCACAUGAGGAAGGAGAGAAGAUUUUAGUCCAUUUAUUGCCACCUGAAGCA